AGUAGUGUGGUGUUUUAAUUGCUGCACCCAUCAGAUUUAAUUAAGAUGCAUAGAUUUAAAAAAAAAAAAAAAAAAAAAAUUUAAUUCAUUUAUUUUUAUUGAGUUACACCACGCCAUGUGGCAGUUACACAUAAAAUGAAGCCCUGAACACAAAGUGGUCCCUUGCUGUUUGGUGUAAAAUGUAGGUGUAGUGAUUUUAAAAACUUUAAUACGAUGAAUUGGGUGUCAUGAAUCAUUAUGACAGCACAGAGGCGUGGCUCACAGCUACUGAUCAUUCCGAGACUCAACAUUUCACAAACGCAGAGAGUGUGAGUAUCUCAAUGCUUCACAGCAACCAGAAAGCUGCAGUUCAAGACAAAGAAAUCACUGGAGUCCCAGAAUGAUCUUGAGCAAUGGACAACUCUCCUAUAGGGAGACCCCCAUCAGGAUCUUCACAAAAAAGAUGAGGAGGUACAGAGUGGGCAGUGCCUGUGGCAUCUCAGUUAGAGAAAUCAGCAGGAGUGAUUACAAGAACCUGGGAACGAAUAUUUUUGGCCAACAUUUGGUGGAUCUUCAAUUGUCGGCUGUCUGAAGGCUAAUGUCAGUAGCAGCAAUCCUCAUGUUUCUGACAGGUAAACCUUUAAAAAUAUUUCAGCUCUUUCUACUGUUUUUCUGUGCUGUUGUGUCACUACUGCAACAGUUCAGAAAAGCUCUCAACUUGUCUGUGUGUUUGCAGGAAAGAACAUUUGUAGGAUGCUGGAGAGAAAAAGACGAGAGUGACAGAGCAAGAAAACAUUAUUUAACAUUAUUAAAUCAUUAUAUUAAUAAUGUAUUAUAUAAUACAAUAUGAUUCUGUAUCCUUCUUUAUCUGUGUGAAGUUUUUGAACGCUCUCAAACUGAGUUAUGCUUCCGUUGUCAUUUUCACACUUAUUUUCACACAUCUCUGGCUCACUCACUAUGUGUGACUGAGAACAGCAGCAGUAGUUAAAAGUGUGAUUACACUCUUGCUGGUCAGUGCAUGAACUAUUUUAAUUUGUGCUUCUGGUGUGUGUG